UGACACUUGACACACACUUCUGUUAGCUUUGUUCAUUUGUUGAACAAAGUUAAACAUAAUAAUUAAUAAAACAAACCUACAUACAUAUAACCAUUUGAAUAUUAAAUGGGGAAUGCCGGAAGUAACCAACCCAAAGAAUGGCAUAAAGAUGCUAACAAAUCGCCUGAUCAUGAUCAAGGACCUUCAUCUCCAGCCAAAGAAGGGGAAGCCUUCACGUUUGAUAAAAAGCUAGACGAUGAUCGAAGUAGUCGAGAUGAUGACAAUAAUAUAGAAGAUGGCGCUCCUUAUUAUACUAAAGCAGUACCUGAAAGUGAUAUUGAAUACACUGAACAACGUGAGAGAUCAAAUACUCUCACCGAUGGUAGUAAAAUAGUCGACGAUAUUAAAGUAUUACCAACAGUUUUCAAAUGGGAAGGAGGUGGAAAACAAGUAUUUAUUUCUGGAACAUUUACAGAUUGGAAAACUAUUCCCAUGGUAAAAUCACAUGGUGAUUUUGUUACAAUAAUAGAUUUACCAGAAGGUGAACAUCAGUACAAAUAUUUUGUUGAUGGAGAAUGGAGGCAUGAUCCUACAGUGAAAGUAAUUGACAAUGGAAUGGGGUCCAAGAAUAAUUUAGUAACAGUAAAAAUGUCAGAUUUUGAGGUGUUUCAAGCAUUAGCCAAAGACAGUGAGGGUAUCCACAGCAGUGCUCAGACUGAAUAUUCACAGGAAAUCCCACAGUCCAAACCAUGGGAGAAAGUGUCUGGUCCACCAAUAUUGCCACCACACCUCUUACAGGUUAUACUUAACAAGGAUACUCCACUUUCUUGUGAGCCGACUCUACUUCCGGAGCCUAAUCAUGUGAUGUUAAAUCACUUGUAUGCUUUGUCAAUAAAAGAUGGAGUUAUGGUACUGUCUGCAACACAUCGCUAUCGCAAGAAAUAUGUUACCACACUUCUAUACAAGCCAAUUUAAUACUUUUGUAGUGGCAAAUUUGUUGUUUUUUAUCAAGUAGGACUAAUGCUUUCCUGUUGUAAAAUUAUGUUGUUAUCGUUUUGUUUUCAUGAAAUGCAAACAUGCAAUUAAUAUAUUAUUAUAAUUAUAAAAAUGCUAUUUAAUAUAAAGAUAGUCAGUAUUUGUGUAGUUUAGGUAAAAAAAAAAAAUUGUGACUUAAGGAAACUUGUUGAAAGUUAUGCAACAAAGAUGGUAUUUUAAAUUGGUUUGAAGCUUGUUAGUGUAUGGCUUUUUAACUGCAGACAUUUUUAAUAGUGAUUGUUUGUGUAAAUCCUUGAAACAAAUAUUCAUUAUUUAAACUACUCUUGUUAAAUGGAUUGCCUAAUAUGUAUUACAUAUUUUACGACAAAGCGAUAAAUGAUGUGGUAUUAGUGUCUUAAAAAAAAUAUCAAAAAAAACUUAGUUCCGAGCAAAGUGAUAAAUGCAGUCAAGUAUUAAUAAUUAUGUAUGUACCUCUUAGUAUUAGUAAUAUCCGGAAUAUAGGGAUGCUGUUUUCAAUAAAAAAUAUUGAAAAUAUCAAUUAAGAAAGAAUUUUAUAAAUCUGCUUAGGAACAACUAAGUUGAAAAAAACCUUUUAAACUAAGUGGUAGGAGUAAUUAUCAAACAACAAAAGAAUUCAUAUAACGAAUCACGACGUCACUGUGAUUAACGAGCAGCCGGCAUCUAAAAUAUUUCAAUUCGCAUACCCAAAUAGAGUAAAAAAUUAAUUACUACGUCAUCUAAGUCUAAUGUCGGUGGUUUAUUAGUUAUUAAUUUCGUAAAAGUCUGGAGAAGGCAAUAAAAUGUGGUAAUAAAAUAAAACUUCCUCAUUUUUCAUGCCUAUUGGGGACGGUAUUGCGCUAUUUUGAGCGUAUUUGUCUUAAUAAACAGCGGAUGGGCAUGUGGUAUGUGAGAAACCCCCGCGGUUGGAUACUACCAUCCUAUUUCUGCCAAGCAACCACAUGUGCCCGUUUAAAGUACAGGACAACUAUCGUAUUUAUGAAACUCAGAUUUUAAUUUUGUCUCAAGGCGCAUUCACGUUCUGUGUGGUUAGUACCUACGAGUUUUUUAACUUCCCGAUUUCGGUUAACUCGAAAUUUGUAUGAAGUUGGAACAGCGCCCCUAGCGGUAAACGAAGAGAAGCUUUUCAAACUCCUUACAAAUUUGAGUCACCUUUUACUGGUAUCUUCAAUGGCUCCGGUAUCUCUUUUAAAUAGACUCGUGUACCCACGUCAUUUUUUUUAUAACUUCUAUCUUUUUAUAGAACAACACGUGGCAGUUUCAUGUCCGAAGGUUUUUGUUUUUUGCACAAUAUGUCAGUAUGCCGAGUAAUUUGCUGCUGUAUUAUAAAGUUAAUGAAAUUCGCUGAUAUUCUCGUAUUAAAGAUAAAUCACAUUAAAUGAUUUUAUAUAAGGCAUAAGAUCAAUUAAAAAAAAAUUGCUUAUUUACGAGCCACGACUCGUAGGAAAUCAAUCUGCGAGAGAGAUUGACGUCAAAUCAAGUGAUCAAUACCACAAAAAAUCGCCCCUUUCAACUUAAGCGUCGGCUUUUUAUUUUUACAUUCAAAUCUAAAAAUAAGAAAACAAGAAAAUGAGGUGAAAUCAGGAGAGCUGAAAAGAAGAAUCACAAUUAAUUUAUUUCUAAGAUAUAGGUACGUUCAUUCAACGAAAUUUCGACAUGGGUGUAUUGUUUUCCCUCUGUAUUGUGAUUGAGAAUGUUGCUAUAAUAGAAUUAUUUUGUCCGUGCAGUUUGGGUAAUAAAAAAAUCGGAGCGGUGAAGCGAGUAUUUCGCUCUCUCUUCCACUUACGAGCCUUAUGGACG